CGGCGCCACCAUUACCCGUCAGUCAGUCCUUCUCCCUCUCUUAUCCAUCCCAGAGAUAUCUGCGGAUGCCACUCUGGAGCUCGUGUCCAAAUUAAUACUCCCACCAAGAACACCAUCCUCCCUAUUCGCCGCGGCGCGGCUCUGAUUUUCUGGUGUUUCUUGGUUCUUUGGAGUCGCAGCUUCGAAGAGGGGUUGAGAGUAUCUCCCGGGAGCUUCGGGAAUUCUUGGUUUCUUGAUGUGGAGAUUGCUACCUUGCAAUGGCAAUCGGUGCCAAGAAGAGGGGAGUGCUAUGAGGCUGUGAAUUCAUGGCCAGUAGAGGUGUAUCCGCCCCCGCGUCGUAGGCGCUGGUGUGUGCCCGGAAGAUGUGGUCUCCGUCGCAUGACCUUAAUGAGCUGCUCCGUGGUCAGCUCUAGCGGCGCUGCGGUCUGGCCAGCCGCAGAGGAGAGGAUCGGGCGCCGGAGGGUUUGUGCAUGCAAGAUGUUCGAUGUCAGUUCCCAGAGGAGCAGGAGGGCGAGGCACCUGGUGGGUUUUGCCAAGAAGAGGAGGAGGGGUUCCAAGAGGCAGCAGCCAUGGUGGAAGGCGUGGUUCUCGGAUUGGAACGACGAGGAAGAGAGCCUGGCCGGCUGGAGGGAGGACGACGAGUUGCUCCAGGAGGUUGUCAGCGACGAAGACCUGUCGGAGGAUGACAAGUUUCAGACGUGGAAGAGGAAGGCCGAGGCGAUUGUCGAGCUGCGGGAGGCCCAGCAGGAUGCCGACAAUGCUGAAGGGCGGUCCUGGGAGGAUUGGAUCGGUGGGGGCAGCACGGCGGCGACGGGAGGUGGUGGUGAUUGGGGCGGGGGUGGGAGCUUCUCGGACCAGAUAACCGAUGAUCCGACGCAGAUAGUGAGGGAUAAGGGCAUCAUUGAAACUUUUAAGGAUUCCAUCGAUGAAGAUUACGAAGACAUGUUGUUUGAGGACCGGGUUUUUUUAUAUGCUUCGGCGAACUCGGCCAAAUUCCUAGCAUUGUUGAUCGUGGUUCCAUGGGUGCUAGAUUUUCUAGUGCAUGACUAUGUUAUGAUGCCAUUCCUAGACAGGUAUGUCAAAAAGGUACCACUUGCUGCUGAACUGCUUGAUGUAAGACGCAGUCAGAAGCUUCAGAUGAUAAAGGAUCUAAAUCUUGAGAAAGCAAGAUUCCGUCUUGAAGUAGAGAUUGGUCAAUCUCCUCCACUUUCUGAUGAGGUGUUCUGGUCAGAGUUGCAGGAAAAAGCGGUAGAGUUGAGGGAUGAAUGGAGAUUAGAAAACCGACAAGCAUUUGCAAACAUCUGGUCUGAUAUCGUUUAUGGGGCCACCCUAUUCCUUAUUAUGUACUUUAACCAGAGUAAAGUUGCAAUGCUGAAGUUCACAGGCUAUAAAUUACUAAAUAACAUCUCGGACAGUGGGAAGGCCUUUCUUAUCAUUCUAGUGUCAGAUAUCCUUCUGGGGUACCAUUCAGAGGCAGGUUGGCACUCGUUGGUAGAAAUCAUUCUUGAACACUAUGGGCUUGAAGCCGACCAAGCUGCAGUCACCUUUUUCGUUUGUCUGGUUCCAGUUGCCCUGGAUGUAUUUAUAAAGUUUUGGGUAUAUAAAUACCUUCCAAGAUUAUCUCCUAGUGUGGGUAACAUUUUGGAUGAAGUGAGGCGCCACUAGAGAAUUUUUUCCAUCAGGAAUUUUAGUUCCUUACAUAAGGGAAUUGCUAGGAGAAGUUCAUUCCAGGUCGGUCCAUGGAUCAUCUGAACUAGGACUUCAAUUCUUGAAGAACCGUUCUUCGACAGGCCUCAGCUUGGAGUUGCGAUGUGUUUGUUCAAUUAGUCAUCAGUUGGAUCUCUAUGUGCUAUGGCUGGCAACUUCGGGUGUCACCUGAACCAGUUAUUGUUCCUUCUAAAAAAACAUGCCACACUAUACAAAUUAUCGUGUGCUAUAGAUAUCUCCCGGUAAAUGUCAAGAUUUUGCGCCAUAGGUUCAUACAGGCGAAUGCAGUUUUCUUACAUACAGAUUUAUGAAUGCCAAGUGGUUUUCGUUCCCAGAGUGCUCACAAAGGAGCAUCUUCUUUUUCAUUAUCCUGUUGUGACUUCUGAAGAGACUACUAUAGAAUAAUGUAUAAAUACAAUAGAUGCAACAGAGUGGUAACUUUUUCUUC